GGAUUAGAUACCCUGGUAGUCCAUGCCGUAAACGUUGGGCACUAGGUGUAGGAGGUAUUCUACCCCUUCUGUGCCGUAGCUAACGCAUUAAGUAUCCCGCCUGGGGAGUACGACCGCAAGGUUGAAACUCAAAGGAAUUGACGGGGGCCCGCACAAGCGGUGGAGCAUGCGGUUUAAUUCGACACAACGCGAAGAACCUUACCAGGACUUGACAUCACCGCAAGGGACCAUGGCCCUAUGGAAACAUGGGGUCUUAGGUAGACAGGUGUUGCAUGGCUGUCGUCAGCUCGUGUCG
rnacentral:rRNA from 1 species